CGGCCACAUCACAUAGAACACCAGUUCUUGUACGAUCACGGAAGUUCAGCAACGUCGAAUCUGUUCAGUACCUGGAUGGGUAACCGUUUAGGAAUACCAGGUGCUGUAAG